CGGAAUUAUUGGGCGUAAGGGCUCGCAGGCGGUUUCUUAAGUCUGAUGUGAAAGCCCCCGGCUCAACCGGGGAGGGUCAUUGGAAACUGGGAAACUUGAGUGCAGAAGAGGAGAGUGGAAUUCCACGUGUAGCGGUGAAAUGCGUAGAGAUGUGGAGGAACACCAGUGGCGAAGGCGACUCUCUGGUCUGUAACUGACGCUGAGGAGCGAAAGCGUGGGGAGCGAACAGGAUUAGAUACCCUGGUAGUCCACGCCGUAAACGAUGAGUGCUAAGUGUUAGGGGGUUUCCGCCCCUUAGUGCUGCAGCUAACGCAUUAAGCACUCCGCCUGGGGAGUACGGUCGCAAGACUGAAACUCAAAGGAAUUGACGGGGGCCCGCACAAGCGGUGGAGCAUGUGGUUUAAUUCGAAGCAACGCGAAGAACCUUACCAGGUCUUGACAUCCUCUGACAACCCUAGAGAUAGGGCUUUCCCUUCGGGGACAGAGUGACAGGUGGUGCAUGGUUGUCGUCAGCUCGUGUCGUGAGAUGUUGGGUUAAGUCCCGCAACGAGCGCAACCCUUGAUCUUACUUGCCAGCAUUCAGUUGGGCACUCUAAGGUGACUGCCGCUGACAAACCGGAGGAAAGUGGGGAUGACGUCAAAUCAUCAUGCGCCUUAUGACCUG
rnacentral:rRNA from 1 species